rnacentral:piRNA from 1 species
UCCAGGUAAUCAAAGAAAUAAAAAAGAAUAGC